ensembl:lncRNA novel transcript
AUUCUGUCUCUUAGGGUCCUGCCACCACCACAUAUGUUAGCCUGCUGGAGGACGACAGCCAGCCAACCUCCAGACAUGUGAGUGAGGCCAACCUAAACCAGCCAGCCCUCAGCCAUCCCAGCAGCUGAACACAGAUGCAUGAGAAAGGCCAGUCUGUAUUACCUGAAUGCAGCCCAGAAGAGCAGAACCACCUAUUGGGUCCUUAGUCUCAUGGGAAAUAGUAGAUGGUGGUUGUUUGCUGCCACUAACAUGUGGAGUGGUUUUCGAUGAAGUAAUAGUUAAUUAAUCCAAUUUUUGUCUUCCCAACUCUACAUGUGCAAAUUCUACCCAUUCCAUUUCAAAUAUACCAUCCUCCAUGAAGUAUUGCCUGAUACCUACAGCAAGAAGUCAGCUCUUUUUCCUCUGACACCCUACAGCAUUUAAACUGUAUCUUUUGGUAUUUGUCAGAAUAGGUUAAAACUAUGCUGCUGUAACAAAUUUCUUUGGCUUUGUAUAAAAAAGAUUUAUUUCUUGCUCAUGGUACACAACUUAUGAGAAUUGCCGGGGAGUUCUGCUUCACACAUUCUCUCAGGCUACCACACUGAGGCAAGCGGCACCUUCAUGGAAACACUGUCUCAGAUCUAGACCUCAGACAAAUCAUGAAGAACUCAAACCUGCUCUUCGUCACUUCUGCCCACUGCCCAUUGUCUAGGCCUGGUCAUGUGUCCUCAUCUAACUGCAAGACAGCUGGAAAAUCAGGGAAAGCACAUGGAUACUUGUCCAUGUCUAUGCCAUUGUUUCUCAUGAAACUUUUAAUGAAUUUAAGGGGAAAAUUAUACAUCUCAACAGAAAGCGCUUACCCUCUCUGAACCAUGUUCCUCCUGUGGUCACAAGAGGCUCAUUAGGCUGGCCUUAAAAACAGCAGUUGGGACAACGAGAAAGCUCCACAGAAAAUCAUGAUGAGCAGUGUUCAUUAUCUAUUCAUGAGCACCUUUCUUGCAUAUUUAGCAUUUGCAAAAUAUUGGAUGUCAUCAGCAUAUGGGAGUCCAGGAGAAAUCUCACCUUCUUGCAAAGACAAAAAUGGAAACGGCUGAGUCUUUCUACCCAGUUGAGGGAACCCAAUCUGAACAUGACGCCUAGUUGUUCUUUGACUCAGUUUAAAUGAUGUGAAGCUGAGCUGUACUCUCUGCAGCCCAAAUAUCUCUGGUUGAACAAAGAACAUUAGCACCUAAGGCCAACAACUCUCAAAGUUUCUGUACUGUGAAUGGUCCAACAGCUGAAAAAACUCAAGUUCAUCUCACCUCCAAUGUCUCUCUUGAAUCUAUUCCUUUCUGUCCAUCUACACAGUUAGAUACUAACCAUCAGCCAUGCCAUCUCUUGCCACCAUACAUCAUUUGUAAUAUAAUUAGUCUCACACUUAUCUCAGUUUCCCAUCUCACUCCUCUCUUAUCUAUUUUCCACAUUACAAACUGAGUGAUUGUUUUGCUUCCUACAACACAGUUCUUAUCAUCACCAUUGUCAUCAUUGAAAUUAUAUUAUCAUAAUUAUCAUAAGUCAGGUCUUAACUGUAAGCAAAAAAAUAAACUCUGGCUAAUUAAAGCAGAAAUAAUGAACUUAA